rnacentral:sRNA from 1 species
GGCAUUCAUAUAAUAUACAUAGUAUGUAUUUUUAUUAUUUUUUUUUAUCUGUAUGCUCAAUUUUCAAAGAAGUGGAAUGCAUUGAACUAGUUAAAAGUUAAAAUGUUAUAUAUUCUGGUAUAGUUUUUAACAUAAGGCAUCUAGAUUUUUAUGAUCUGUCUAAAUGAAAGAUAAAAUUUUUAUCAAUAUUCCUGUAUACAUGUACGUGAAUUCCCCUAUGGUCACAAAUAUUGGCAUGUCAUAUUACCUUAUCUUCCAUGGCUACUUUAGCUUUCUAGUUAUUUUUUAAAUAGACAUUAUAUAGAAUUCAUCCUUCACGGAAGGUUGUUUUCAAAAUGCCAAAAAACAAUUAAAAUUGGCUGCCCUUUAAAACUCAGUUAGAUUUGCAUACUUAUAUUAUUUUAAAUAUUACAAAAUUGUUCAUCAGAAUAUUAAAAAUUGCAUUCAUUUGGCUAGUGGCAUUAGGUAGAAGGGGUCCCCCUAGGAUUAUGAAGUAGAAUAUAGUUUAUAUUACCAGUGUAUUACUAAUCCACAUCAUAUGUCAUUUUACUUUUCUGAGUGACUUAGAUGAAUGUCACAAGUAAAACAAUCUGCUCCUAAUUUUAAUCAGCUCUUUUUGUUACCCAUGUUAUGUAUUGCAUGACAAUGGCAUGCAUCCUCAAUCCCUUUGAUACCUCUACGAUCUGAUCACCCCCCCCCCCUCCCCCCUUGCAAUAUUCUACUUACUGAUGUCUACAUAUAUCUGUGUAAUCAUGUGUUCAGUACACAAAGCCAAAUUGAUUGUUAAUUAUUUGUAAGAGACUUUAAAGAUAUAUCACUAAAUAAUUGUUGUUUUUAAUAAAGUUUAUGAAAGGUU